UCUCAGUGAUGAUUAUUACGAUGACGAGUCCGAUGUAAUUUCCAUUCUAAAAAUCAUGAGGACAAAACGAGGCAUUUGUCUGAGAGGA
rfam:Cicer arietinum chromosome Ca7, whole genome shotgun sequence.